CUUUGGCUUUAGUACAGAUUCAUAGUAUGCUUGAAAAAUAAUAUUUUGAAUGAAAAGGAAAAGAUAUAGUGCUGUGAUGCAAAACACUUUCUUGAUUGUUAUAGUUUAGCACAAGAUAUUGGUCUAAUCAGUUCUUGUAAGUUCAUUUGUUAGCUGUUAUUCCUGUUGUCAUAUGCGUAUGACAUGAAUAUUGAUUGCCUUAUACUAUGUCACACAUUUCUGUUCACUAAAAGUUUGAAUGUUUUAGAAUCCUUCAAUGUUUAUUUCAUAUAGUUUUGCUUCUUGAGCUUGACUACCAGCAGGCCUAGUGCAUCCUAUAUAUAGUUGUCCAGUUGUGUUGAAGGCAAGAGAAUAUGGAAACUUUAUUCCUAUGU
rnacentral:lncRNA from 1 species